CUCAGGGGUUCUUGCUCACUCCCAGGACCUGUUCACGCGUGUCCACAAUUUGGUCCCCCUUGUGCCUGAAAACCUUCCAGGAGGACGCUCGCCUUCCACUGUCCACAGCCCCCAGGUGGGAAGGCCUUUUGGGGGCGGUCAGGCCACCUGCAGGAACAGAGUUCGAACCUUGUUCUAGAACGCGUCAUGGAAGUCAGCCUCCCUCCCCACCCUGGUUUCAGAUGUAGAAACUGAAACCCAGCUUGGGGACCGCCUUCCUGAGGACACAACGCUGGGUAAGGCUGGGCUUGGCCCUGCUGGGGAAAAGGGGUCAGGGUGGGAUCUGGGGAGCAGGAAGCUGUCCACUGUAGGAAGAGGGGAGGGGAAGACCCAGAGAAAGCCCCGGCUCCUGGCCGCUCCCCAGCCCAGCCCAGCCUCAGCCCCAGGCGGGUCCAAGAAGAGUGUGUGAUGUCACGCCAGCCUCAGGGGAGGGUGCCGGCAGUCUUGCCCGGGCCACCAGCAACAGUGGCUCUCGAGGAAGGACCCGGAAGUUGGCCCGCAAAGCUGGCCCCAACCCACUCUGAUCUGUGGUCCCCUCCAUGGUUGCAGGAAGAGUGGUCUCUUUUGUCUUGGCUUACGAUCGUCCAGUCGGGGUGAGAUACGUGUAAUUUGCGAUAUUUAUGCUUAUUUUGCUAUUUCAGUUUUGAUCAAUGAAAGGACAUCUUUGCCUAAGAACACAGUUUUUAUUACUAAGACAAUCACAGGUAACCCCCAGAGAAUUUAGUCUCAUAACUGUGACAAGGGAGAAAAGAAUAUAGUAUUCUCUUUCUCCUUUUGAAAAUAGUUCUACUGCCGGCCGCGGUGGCUCACGCCUGUAAUCCCAACACUUUGGGAGGCUGAGGUGGGUGGAUCACGUGAGGUCAGGAGCUCAAGACCAGCCUGGCCAACAUGAUGAAACCCCAUCUCUACCCAAAAUACAAAAAUUAGCUGGACGUGGUGCCACACGCCUGUAACCCCAGCUACCUGGGAGGCUGAGGAAGGAGAAUCACUUGAACCCAGGAGACGGAGGUUGCAGUGAGCCAAGAUCACGCCAUUGCACUGCAGCCUGGGUGACAGAACAAGACUACGUCUCAAAAAAAGAAAAAAGAAAGAAAAAAAAGAAAAUAGUUCUGCUGUGAAAAUGACUGUUUGCAUUACCAAGAAGAGAUUUCAAAGUUAUCUUAAAAUGUUCCUGUUCCCAAGAAGCAGUAUAUAGUAAUAAAGACAUAUAUUCACCAAGAAUAACAUGUCCAGAAAGACAAGUUCUUAAAAACAGAAUGAGUGACAGUGGGCACACCAUGAGACUUAGUCACCUCCAAGAAGGACCUGGGUAGGAAAGGAGGGGCUGGGAGGGAAACUGCACCCCUUCAUUCCCACCCCACCCCAGCAAUUCCAGGCACAAACAGUUGAGCUCUGAGACAGAUGAAAGCUUUUCAGUUCUCAGAAGUCCAAAGGGCUGACCCACUUUGCCGGUUUGCAUGGUUUGCCUGGAGUGGCAUUAAGGCCGGCUUCUUUACAGUGUGUCUGAAAUACAAU
rnacentral:lncRNA from 1 species